UGAUGCUUGCCUCCCUCUCCCCCACCUUCCACCACCACCACCCCACCCUCGCCAGCUGCUUUGCUCUCUUCUGGACUUCGCAUUGGACCAACUACAAAACUGCUAUUGAAAGUCUAAGUUACGUGACUCAGGUCGGUGACCACGACCCAAGAGCUUUCUCCGGACGCAGCAAUCUUCGGGAGGGGAUGUUCCCUGCUAGGUGCUGCUGCUGGGAUGAAGGGUGGAGAAGCUUUUUCAGUCUUUGUGAGGCAGCCUGGUGGGGCCCGAGGCAAAAAAUGGACGGUUCUCACCUUUGUACAACAGGCUGCAUUCCAGUCACGCAAAAGCUGGAGGCUUGUGUGCCCAUGAGCCCUCCUAACUUUCCAUCCCAGUUCAAGGACAUCUGCCAGCCAGGAAGGGGGCUGAGCAGAGCUGGGGGAGGCUGUGUCCCGGUGAAAGUAUUGAGGGUCUGCAUUUGACCCCCUUGGCUUGAAUCCCUUUACCCUGACCCCCUGAAAUACAAAGCUCAAAGGGGCAGCUUUUUCACUUACACCAGUUAUUUAUUUUCCCCACCCACAACAACAACAACCACCACUACCACCAGGGUCCUGGAGACUGCAUUUCUGUGAGGUAUGGCAAUCAUCUUAGCUUCAUUCUGGACAGAUCUACCCAAGUCGGCUGUGUUGAAGUUGUUGUGGCUUCUCAGAUGCCAUUGUUGUUUCACCCAAGGGUGGCUGCUUCUUGCAUUUAUACUCCAGAAGGCACAGAGCAAUUUCCGAAUGGCUCUUAGGCAGUCUCCCAUCAGAGGUGUACCUAGGGGCUGGUGAAAGCAGCCCCCGCCAGGAAUGUAGGCCCAGGGUCCCCCCGCAAAAACCACCUACGAGACUAGACGCGUGUGUGACGCACUGCCACUGUUGCGGUGAGAUCGGACGCAGGAGAAAAUCCCCAUGCUUCUUGCACUGUAGAACAAAGGCUUACGGUUAUUAUUAUUUUUGCCCUUCCUCCUCGCCUUGCCCUCACUCCAGACGCUUUUGAGUACUUGGGUUGUGUAGUAAUUUCUAAUGUGGCAAUUGCUUUAAAGUGAUUUCCUUUUUUCUCGCGGGGCGAGCGGAUACGCCUACACAGCUCCUUGUCGAGGGCGGAAGGGGUCCCAGGUACGCUUCUGCCUCCCGUCCCGGCAGCUUACAGAGUCAUGCCAGUUUAGUGGUGAGACUGUCUCAUAGAAUCGUAGAAUUGGAAGGGACCCUGGGGGUCAUCUAGUCCAACCCCCUCCAGUGCAGGAAUCUUUUGCCCAGUGUGGGGCCUUGAGAUUGAGAGUCCCGUGCUCUACCAACUGUUCUCUGGGCAGCCAGAAGGUUCCUCUCAUGCAAACUUUGGGAACAUAGGAAGCUGCCUUGUAUUGAGUCAGAUCCUCAGUCUAUCUAGGUCUGCAUUGUCUACACUGACUGGCAGCAGCUGUCUUUCUCAGCUGCACUUGGAGGUGAGGGUUGAACCAGGCACCUUCUGCAGACACUUGUGCAAAACCUCUUGUGCAUGGACAACUGCAUGUGCCAUGGUGUGAGUUAGCUUGGCUAUUGCAGAUGCGUACAAGCAAGCUUUCAUGUACUUUUCGCCGGUAGCAUUAUCUUUGAUGUUUACACUUUCUUUCCCCCCCUUUGGUUCUUUUUUUUUUUAAUCGCUGAGAAACCAGGGAUUCCGACAUCCUUCCUUUGAGGCCUUGCUACAGAUGACACCCAUCUAUCUUAAUUCUCUUCCCUCCGACACCCCCCCCCCCAGGGCCUUGUUAUAGACAUUACACUGAACACAAGCCAUCUCGGCACAUGUACAAGUGUUUGUGUGAAAGACCGGACACAACUUGUUGAUUUGUACAGCUCAGCUGUUGCACGCAUAAACUGCAGGGGGGUGCCAACUUGAAUACAAUAUUGUGGGCACCCAGGUAAACCCCGCCCUGCAUAAUUGAUCAUAUGAUGCAGUGCGCACACCUCAUUUGAAUGGGGAUGCCAAUCAACUUGGCGGGGGCCAGAACCCCUCAAACAUUUUAUUGUGGGGACCGAAGCCCCUAGGAGUUGGCUCCAAUGAUAGACUUACACUUACUGAAUGUGAGUAACUACAAACGUACAAAUCAGCUACUUAUGUACACAGAUUGUACACUUGUUGGAUGUAAUGUGGGAACGACCCUAGACUAAGCAUAAUUUGGAGAGAAGCUUGAACGGCCUUCAGUCACCGUGCUAUGGCUUCAGCCGUCUCCUUCCCCAACCCCAUAUUGCUAUACCGUAAAAACACUGGAUGUAUUGUCACUGGAGCUCUGACUAUGCCAAAAACUACUGAUCCUUUUUUAGCCACUGUGUCGUUUCUUGUAUCUCCUCCACGAUUCUUCAGAGAGAGAGAGAAAGCGGUUUUUACUACUCACUGUGGUCCAGCUUCUUAAGGAGCGCAAAGGAGACUUCUGAGCUUGAAAUGCGGGGAGCGGGCAGAAAUAUUAUAACGAUUCCUUUCAAAACCCCUUUCUGCUCAUUCUGUCGGAAAAGAUGUGAAAGCCACUUUCUGCACUUUGGGGAAUGCCAGGGAAUGCCCGGGCUCUAUGCAGGGCCGGCUUGGUGUCUGAGGAGGCCCUGGGCAAUGUAGUCUGUGGUGGGUUCUCUCCGCGAUCUGCGAGCCCCAGUUGGCUUACCUCUGGAGCAGGGAUUAUUCUCAAGCCAGCAGACCAGAUCCUGGGUUCCCCCACUCCCGCCAGCCCACUCAGACAGGUGGGCGAGGCCGCUUGCCUGCCACUCACCUGAUAUCACCAUGGCAUCGGGGGACCUGCUUUUCCUUCGUAGCAUGGCUUGCGUUCGAGCCGCACUGCCGAGGAAAACCCAAACAGGGCUUGACAUCACAGCUGAUCAGCUGGUUUCAAGCCAUGCUUCCCGCAGGGAUCUGCUGUGUUGUGGAGUCGCACCUAGCUUGGUCAGUCGCACCUAGCAAGCCUUGCAGCAAAGCUGUUCCCAGUGCAUUUUAACUCAGCACCUGUCAGCUGAUCGGUGCCGGCAGCAACCACCCCUUACCAAGGAGCAACUGGGAGCACACUUCAAUGCACCUCUGUUACAACCUCAGGGGUGCGGCUGGUGGGCAUGUUUUGGAGGCCAAAUUGGGACCCGUGCUGGACCUAGUUAGGCCCAGGAAGUUGCCCACCCCUGGUUUACUUCCGGGCGACUGCGCUACAAGUAAUAUGGGGAGCUGGGUCUACCCACCAACUGAAUUCCUCACAGUGCCUCAUAGGAACACAAUGCCAUGAAUAUUAUGGGAAGUGUAAAUGGAAACUAGACCUGCUUUGAACACCUGGGCGGGUUUUCUUUUUCUUUAAUGAAGAGUUCCAGAGGAAAUGUCAUUAAUGGGCCCUUCUGAGGCACUAGCUAGCCAAGGUUGCCUAUGCCUGGUCUUGGCCAAAACAAUUGGCCCUGGAAGGUGUGUUAGUGUAAUAAUGAUGUCUCUCUCUCUCAAAACUGACCAGCUGCAGCCAGUUCAUGGGGAUGGGGCGUUUGUGAGUGCCAAGAGUGGGCAGGCUUAAAGCUCCUGUUUCAGACAUUAUUCAGCGCUUAGGGGAGGGGGAGGAUGGGAUGGUAGGGACAAGUCUGCAUUUCAGUGGAAUACAGCAAGGCAGAACGAGACUUGCUCCCCGCUUCUCCCCCAUUGCCCAGCCGCCAUUUUGAAUCUUGAGGAAAAGUUGGCCUCGUGUGUUCCACGUUCCACAUAAGAAAGGGGUGGGGUUUGAGGGCAACUGCUUAUGCGAUUGGCCAGCACAGCCGCCCGUCUUCCCAAGAAGUAGGUGCUCGUGGCAGUUCAGUCUGCGAUGGUUUCAUUUCAAAACAUCCCUUACCCAUGUCUGACUCAGAGAACUUACUGUAGCUGGAUUUGGGGUUCUUUAUAAAAGCAUGUUUCGCUUUUCAGGUUUCAUAUCUAAAUAUCCAGUGUGUUGACCUGUUCGUAAGACACAGUUCCUUACUGUUUUACAAGUGUGGUUGGCGCCAAUGGACACUACUGAUCUGGGCUGCAAAAAAAGGAGGGAGAAAAUCUGAAAUAUUCCCUUCCACACAUCACAGUUCAGGAAACUACGGUUGUGUUGAAUAUCAGAGAAUGAGCACACCCCCUCUGCCCUCCCUCCUCAUCUCCCAGCUGUAUAUUAAAUUAUUAAAAAUGUACUUAACUAUAGCUAUGUGUAUAUAAAUAUAUAUAUAUAUAUUUGUUGCUCACUGGAAUUUACCACUGUUUAUGGUACUGGAGGUCUGGAAUCAUUGUGCCUUGGUUGUAAAUAAGCUUGAGUGGCUAUUUUAUUUUAUGAAUAAAAAAAUGACUCUGA